rnacentral:ncRNA from 1 species
AGGAGCCGUGUGCAGUGAAAGUUGCAAGCACGGUUUUGAAGGAGAGGUAGAAGUCGCAAGACUUCUAUCGACUCUAAC